rnacentral:rRNA from 1 species
AUUGAACGCUGGCGGCAGGCCUAACACAUGCAAGUCGAACGGUAACAGGAAGCAGCUUGCUGCUUCGCUGACGAGUGGCGGACGGGUGAGUAAUGUCUGGGAAACUGCCUGAUGGAGGGGGAUAACUACUGGAAACGGUAGCUAAUACCGCAUAACGUCGCAAGACCAAAGAGGGGGACCUUAGGGCCUCUUGCCAUCGGACGUGCCCAGAUGGGAUUAGCUAGUAGGUGGGGUAACGGCUCACCUAGGCGACGAUCCCUAGCUGGUCUGAGAGGAUGACCAGCCACACUGGAACUGAGACACGGUCCAGACUCCUACGGGAGGCAGCAGUGGGGAAUAUUGCACAAUGGGCGCAAGCCUGAUGCAGCCAUGCCGCGUGUAUGAAGAAGGCCUUCGGGUUGUAAAGUACUUUCAGCGGGGAGGAAGGGAGUAAAGUUAAUACCUUUGCUCAUUGACGUUACCCGCAGAAGAAGCACCGGCUAACUCCGUG